ACGCUGGCGGCGCGCUUAACACAUGCAAGUCGAGCGAGAUAGGGAGCAAUCCUGAGUAAAGCGGCACACGGGUGAGUAACACGUGGGUAUGUACCUCGUUAGUGUGGGAAUAACCCUGGGAAACCGGGGCUAAUACCGCAUAAGUCCGAGAGGAGAAAGCCGAAAGGCGCUGACAGAUCAGCCCGCGGACGAUUAGCUAGUUGGUGAGGUAAUGGCUCACCAAGGCGACGAUCGAUAGCCGGACUGAGAGGGCACACGGCCACACUGGCACUGAAACACGGGCCACACUCCUACGGGAGGCACCCCUGGGGAAUCUUGCACAAUGGAAGAAACUCUGAUGCAGCGACGCCGCGUGAACGAUGAAGCCCUUCGGGGUGUAAAGUUCUUUCGACAGGGACGAUAAUGACGGUACCUGAAGAAGAAGCUGCGGCUAACUACGUGCCAGCAGCCGCGGUAAUACGUAGGCAGCGAGCGUUGUUCGGAAUUACUGGGCGUAAAGAGUGUGUAGGUGGUUGACUAAGUUUGGUGUGAAAUCUCCCGGCUUAACUGGGAGGGUGGUCGGAAAACUGGUUGGUUAGAGUGUGGGAGAGGGACGUGGAAUUCAUGGUGGGGCGGAAAUAUGCGUGGAUAUGAGGAAGAACACCAGAUGUGUAGGCAGGGUCCUGGACCAUUCCUGACACUGGAGCAAUAAAGGCUGUGAAGCAAAAAAGAUUAGAUACCCUGGUAGUCCACGCCGUAAACGAUGCAAACUUGGUGUGCGCCCUUCAUAGGGUGCGUGUCGAAGGUAACGGGUUAAGUUUGCCGCCUGGGGAGGACGGUCGCAAGGGUGAAAAUUAAAGGAAUUGACGGGGGCCCGCACAAGCGGUGGAGCAUGUGGUUUAAUUUGAAGCAACGGGAAGAACCUUACCUGGGCUCGAACGUCAGGUCAACGAUUGUAGAAAUAUGGUUACUCUUCAAGGAGUUCCUGUCGAGGUGUGGCAUGGCGGUGUUCAGUUGGUGUGGUGAGAUGUUGGGUUAAGUCCCGCAACGAGCGCAACCCUUGUCUUGUGUUGCCAUCAUUCAGUUGGGCACUCUCAGGAGACCGCCAGCGAUAAGUUGGAGGAAGGUGGGGACGACGUCAAGUCAUCAUGGCCUUUAUGUACAGGGCUACACACGUGCUACAAUGGUCGGUACAAAGGGUGCCAACCCGCGAGGGGGAGGUAAUUGCAAAAAACCGGUUUCAGUUCGGAUUGCAGGUUGCAACUUGCACUGCAUGAAGCUGGAAUUGGUAGUAAUGGGGCAUCAGCAAGGCGCCGGGAAUACGUUUCCGGGCCUUGUACACCCCGCCCGUCACAUCCAGAAAGUGGGUUGUACUAGAAGUCUUCAGGCUAACCGUAAGGAGGCAGAGGCCCAAGG
rnacentral:rRNA from 1 species